rnacentral:lncRNA from 1 species
AUAAAUUAGAGAAGCAUGUGUGAAAACUACCCUGACCCUUCCUAUCCGGUGUUGCAGCUUACUGGACCACCACUUGACCACCUGUAUCACCUUUCCAAGUUUUGGUCUAUCUUCUCGAUAUGCUGGUGACUACUAAAACCUGGAGAAGUGGAAUAAUACUACUGAAAGUCCUAAGUAAAGAAUCUAUUGAAGGAUUUUUCCCGCAUGCUCAGUGGCAGAUGCGGGUAGCAGUAUCCCUGCAACACAAAGAAAGGGAGACAACAGGCAUAAUGAGAACAAAGAGCUGCUGGGUUCCACAUUAGCAAGAGAAAUUGGGAAUAGGCACAUGAAAGUGAAGACGGCACGGAUUCAGAGGUGGACAGACAGGAGGAGAAUCAGGGGGCAAUCAGUAGAGCGUCAUCGUCACUCAUGUCCCUGGGCUGAAGGAGGCUCCAUCUCCAUGCUUUCUGCCAACAGAAGAACAAAGGGUCCAGGCAACUGUACACUAGUUCAGGAACAUGGCAAAAAGGCCUUCUACUUAUAUUUCAUCGACCUAAGCAAAUUAUAUAGCUUCACAUAACUUCAAAGCAACACGGUUAUGCAAUCAAACCCUUUGACUAGAAGAACUGGAAAUACUUAGCUGAACUAUAAUACUUACGUAAAUGUUUCCUGCCACUAAAUAAAGUUAAGGCUAAGAUUUACCUAAAAUAUUUUGGCAGAUUUCUAUAAAUAAAUUUUGGACUCUCCUGUUCUCGUGGUUGUUUGGCUGUAAAUUUAUUGCAAUUAUGUCUUUGUAAUUUUAGAGAUGAUUUUUGUUUGUGUAUAUAUACAUAUAUACACAUUUUUUUAUCAUCUUUUACACUAUUGAUUCCUAAUUUAAUGGCAUUGUGACUAGGAAUUAUGACCUAUAUAAAUCUGAUUCAAUGAAAUUUUUUUCUUAAAGUAUAAUUGACAUACAUUAUAUUAGUUUCAAGUGUCAAACAAUGAUUCAAUAUUUGUAUAUAUUGCAAAAUGAUAUACAUAUUGCAAAAUAAGCUGAGUUAACCUCCAUCAGCAUACCCAGCUACAAAAUUUUUUUUUCUUUUGAUGAGGACUUCUGGGAUCUACUCUCUUAGAAGUUUUCAAAUAUAUGAUACAGUAUUAUUAACCAUGUACCUCGUGCCUAACCCCAUAACUUAUUUAUUUUAUAAUUAAAAGUUUGUACCUUUUGAUCCCCUUCAUCCAUUUUGCCCACUCCCAUGUGCCCUCUGGCAACCACCAAUCUGUUCUAUCUAUGGGUUUGUUUUUUAUUUUGUUUUGUUUUUAGAUUGCAUGUAUAAGGGAGAUGGAAUUUUUCUCUGACUUCACUCUGAUUCAUUGAAAUUUGAUGAAACUUCCUUUGUGCCCUGAUACACUGCCAAUAUUUGGAAAUAGUCUAUGCAUAUUUGAAUAGUAUUAUACCUUCAAUUUGUUAGAUACAUACACA